rnacentral:rRNA from 1 species
GUGGGUAGUUUGACUGGGGCGGUCUCCUCCUAAAGAGUAACGGAGGAGCACGAAGGUUAGCUAAUCCUGGUCGGACAUCAGGAGGUUAGUGCAAAGGCAUAAGCUAGCUUGACUGCGAGAGUGACGGCUCGAGCAGGUGCGAAAGCAGGUCUUAGUGAUCCGGUGGUUCUGAAUGGAAGGGCCAUCGCUCAACGGAUAAAAGGUACUCCGGGGAUAACAGGCUGAUACCGCCCAAGAGUUCAUAUCGACGGCGGUGUUUGGCACCUCGAUGUCGGCUCAUCACAUCCUGGGGCUGAAGUAGGUCCCAAGGGUAUGGCUGUUCGCCAUUUAAAGUGGUACGCGAGCUGGGUUUAGAACGUCGUGAGACAGUUCGGUCCCUAUCUGCCGUGGGCGCUGGAGAAUUGAGGGGGGCUGCUCCUAGUACGAGAGGACCGGAGUGGACGCAUCACUGGUGUUCGGGUUGUCAUGCCAAUGGCAUUGCCCGGUAGCUAAAUGCGGAAGAGAUAAGUGCUGAAAGCAUCUAAGC